rnacentral:lncRNA from 1 species
ACAAACUUUUAGGGUUUAUCUUUUUCUUUCGUUUCAAUCGAAGGCUUUUUCGAUCGUUUUUGUUUUAAAUCGAACGGAUCUGAGUACUAAUUCCGAUUUAGGUUUUUAUCUGUUCGAUUUGUUUGGCCGAUGAUUAAAUUCAAAAUAAUUGACAAGCAUAUGUCUGAAUCAUACUGUUCUUUUAGUUUUUGAUUUAAUUUCUAAAUUAGAUCUG